GACGAACGCUGGCGGCGUGCUUAACACAUGCAAGUCGAACGGAAAGGCCCUGCUUUUGUGGGGUGCUCGAGUGGCGAACGGGUGAGUAACACGUGAGUAACCUGCCCUUGACUUUGGGAUAACUUCAGGAAACUGGGGCUAAUACAGGAUAGGAGCUCUUGCUGCACGGUGGGGGUUGGAAAGUGUCGGCGGUUGGGGAUGGACUCGCGGCUUAUCAGCUUGUUGGUGGGGUAGUGGCUUACAAAGGCUUUGACGGGUAGCCGGCCUGAGAGGGUGACCGGCCACAUUAGGACUGAGAUACGGCCCAGACUCCUACGGGAGGCAGCAGUGGGGAAUAUUGCACAAUGGGCGGAAGCCUGAUGCAGCAACGCCGCGUGCGGAAUGACGGCCUUCGGGUUGUAAACCGCUUUCGCCUGUGACGAAGCGUGAGUGACGGUAAUGGGUAAAGAAGCACCGGCUAACUACGUG
rnacentral:rRNA from 1 species